rnacentral:rRNA from 1 species
GGACGACCUCCCCACGCGAGACCUGUCUUCUUCUUUCCCCCGUGCGAGACCAAAGGGCUGAGGAGCCCCGUCCAUGGCGGCACACCGACGGGGGCACCCAGCGCCUCUCGCCGACCCUCCUCCUCCUCCUCCUACGCCGGUACCGGCAUCCCUUCCUCCGCAGCUCGUUCUCCUUCCUCCCAUGGUGCCCCAUCUAUUCUGCCGCCCCGUCUCCUCUGCCGCUCCAUGUCCUCUCCACCCAUGGCUGCCACGACCAGGACCUAGCCAUCCACCGCCGCUCCUCAUCCUCUACCUAUGCUCCGGGAUCCCUCCAUGCCACCGGACCCCUCCUCCUCGCUUGGGACUUGGCCUUCCUCCCUCUGCUGCACAUCUUCAGUUAGCUAGCUGUGUUUUUCUUCAGUUUCGUCAGGGAGCAGCUCGGCAGGGGCACCAGCAUGGUCCUUUACCUCAAGGACGACAAGCUAUAGAGUCAAGUCUUGAUGUGAUUUUGUGCUUAGUACAGCUGCACUAAACGGCCGCUACAUAAGCUUAUUGUCGUCUAUAAACUGUAUGAUCUUGCGGCUAUUUAUGUUUGUACGCAUGAGCUGAACUUUUGUUUCAUGAGUUUGUCUAGUUUG